rnacentral:lncRNA from 1 species
GUUUAAUGAUAUUUUUUAUGUUAUUACCCAACAGGAUACGUUUAGGAUACAGAGGACUUUGGGAGGUGCCUCAAGCUCCAUGAUCCUGGGGGAUUAGGACUACGGUGUGGAAGCUGCCUGAGAGGAAAGGUUAUCAGCUGGUUUGUCUGCGCACAGGGACCUCUAGAUACUGGAGCACUGGCCACAUGACCAAACGAUGAGUCUGGGGAGCGGUCCUCAGGGACUUGAAAUAGGAAGAAAAAAACAACAACCCCACAGAACUACAAAAAAGAGAGAACAGACAAAGAGGACUGUUGUAAAAAUAAGAAGCUUUGAAGAAUCUGAAGCAGAUGUUAUGCUGGGAGCUAGUAUGUAUUAUAUACCACCUGUGCCCACUUAAUUCCAUCCAAAAUCAUUUCCUCCACAGUUACCAUGAAGAGAGAUGGAAAUUCAAGGAUCUAAAAAUAUUUGGUAGAAGGAAAGGGAGGAAGAAAGUGAAAGGCUGGCAGACCUCCCCAUCAGGGAAUGAAGAGAAGCAAGAGGAAGUUAAAAAAUAUAUAUAUGGAACGUUGGAUCCCCUCCCCCCAAUUUAUGUAUAUACUAUUUUCUACACACUUUUAAAAUAAAGGCUCUUAAAAUUAAAAUCA